rnacentral:lncRNA from 1 species
GAAAAGCAGCUGAAUCAUACUGAAAUCACAUUGCCCCACGAGGAAUGUGUCAACUAUUUAGUCUUCAUUAACACGAUGAAAGUGUAGUUAAUGAUGGUGUUAUAUUGCCACAUUGAAAAACUUUAGAAUCAAGUGGCUAAAAAUAUUUUCUCAUAGUGUAAGGGAGUGAGGACACUAAAAGCUUACCUUUAAAACUAUUUUUAAAGGAUGAAGCUAUUAUAAUUGCAUCUUUCCUUUCUGGGUAAUAGCCUUUUCAAGUGAAGAGUACACUUCAGAUGUGUUCAGCAUAGCAGUUCCUUAGGUCCUAAGCCAGGUGAUAAUGCUGAGUUUGGUGCUUAGGAUCCUAGUGGAUAUACGAUACAGCCAUUAUUUUGUUAAUUUAUAAUUCAUGAUAUCAAGAACAUUUGUAUACUAAUAUUCUUUGUAUUCCAGGUGUUAGACACCCUCUCAAAGGUGGGACAGAAUAAUAAUGAUGGCUUCAGUACAAUGUUAUAUAUGCUACGAGAGUGGCACAUAUACAGACGACUCUGGAGCUAAGAACAAGGACAUCUACACGCUAAGUUUCAGAACAAGUUUCAAGUAUCUGGACUACAGAAAUUACAGAAAAAGGAAUGAUGACCUUAAAUCAUGAACGGGUGAGUAACUUCUGGCACCUAGACUUUUUUACUGAGCUGUUGCAUGGAAGGGAUAAGUUCAUUUAAAAGGUGUGGGAGAUGGUGAAUGCUUUCUGCUUUUAAGAAUGCUAAAGACACAGCUGUGAGGACAUACCAUACUUGCUCAUGGUGCUUAUAAUCUAAGUCUAGUUCUUACUGAUGAAAUAUUUGUUUCAGGAAAUGAUGUGGUCAUGAGGUUGAGUACAGUGGCACAUAAGUCAGGUUAACUGCUUGUAUUAAAUAAGUCAAAGUACCAUAAUCUGCAGUAAAGGCCUUUAGUUCGAUCUUUUCUGAAUUCAUCAUGAAUAUACGCUGAUCAGAUGUUUUCAGCAAUGCGUCGAUUUUUAAAUUGUAUAAAGUGAUUAAUUUUCUGCAACUACAUUUAAUCUUGUGGAGAUAAAAUGAAAAGAUGACUGUUUGAAUUGGCAGGACUGGUUGCUCAUUCAUUUCUCUUGUCAACACUUGGGGGGAAAAAAAAAAAACUUAUAUAGGUACUUUGUAGAACUAUUUCUUGACUCAAUUUGGUCAGUAGCCAUAGCUUUAUUUCUUGUGGCAAUUGACCCACUUAAACCAAUUAUACUACCCUUAUGGUUCUUUUCUCACUAGGAAUACCUCUCCACUCUCCACCUCUCUGUAGCACCUCUGAUGCUUAGAUUACCUCUCUUGACUUGCUUAUUUGACUGUUUGUACCUUUUGAAACCAGUAGUAUCUUUUCCAGAGAUAACGGCAAAUUUUAUUAUAAAAAUAUAAUUCAGAGAAAUAUUUAUCAGUUUUUAAAACAUGCAAGAAAAUAUAAUAUGUGAGGAAUAAAUUUGUCAUUAACACUAUUAGUUAUAAUCA